CAAUGGGAGUGGUAGUAGGGUUUGGGUGUUGGGAAAGGAGAAAGUGUGGAGCGCUGGUUGGUUACAGCUACAGGUCGCGAGUUCCAACCACCUUAGGCGCCAUUCAAAUACUCUUCAAGUUGAAAGAGAUACCAUCGCAAACCAUCACCACCACUAAUCCUCAUUUUAUGCCUGGUCCUAUUCCACUCCCAGCAUCAUCUGGAUAAAACUUGUUGAAGAUUUGUUUCAAAUAUCGUCUUUUUGUCUGAGACAACUAGCUGGCAGAAAAAAAGAAGCAGAAGGAGCUACUACUGGAAACUGGAGCCAGUACUGUACCUUGCACCGUAUAUCACAAAACAAAAAAGACGAAGGAAAGGUGCCAAGGCCAAUUAUGUAAUGCAGAUAUUAAACUUUACAAUCAUUACUGCUGUGCACCAAACAACAUUUCAUAUGCAAACAAGUUAGGACUGGAUGGCUUUGGACCAGUUUAUAAGGGGGAACUUCCUGAUGGAAGAAAUAGCAAUAAAGAGACUUUCUAGUAGAUCGGGGCAAGAGUUGGUGGAGUUCAAAAAUGAGGCCGAACUUGUAGCAAAACUUCAGCAUACUAAUCUUGUAAGGCUUUUGGGGCUCUGCAUACAAAAUGAAGAAAAUAUAUUAGUCUAUGAGUAAAUGCCCAACAAUAGUUUAGACUUUCAUCUCUUUGGUAUGUAACCUUCAUGAGCAAGAUAAUCUCGUAAUUGUUUAUUUUUUAACUUGGUUUAUCCUUUGUUUCUUCCGAGGCUUGGUAAUUCAUGCUUACUCUGAAACAAAGUCUAAAGGAAGCGAAGCAAUAGUCUGAGAGAAAAGAUUCGACAUCAUUCAAGGUAUAACUCAUGGGUUGAUUUAUCUCCAUCACUUUUCAACAUAUUUGAUUAUGAAAUGAACCCAAAAAGUAGUUAUUUUGGCAUGGCAGUAAUAUUAGUUUCGGAAGUAGUAGAAGUGAAGAUUAAAAGAAUUGUUGGAAUAUAGUAGGUACAAAUCAGCACAAUUUCCCCA